AUCGGGCUUGGGGACACUGUCUGGUGGGUAGUUUGACUGGGGCGGUCUCCUCCCAAAGAGUAACGGAGGAGCACGAAGGUUGGCUAAGUACGGUCGGACAUCGUACGGUUAGUGCAAUGGCAUAAGCCAGCUUAACUGCGAGACAGACACGUCGAGCAGGUGCGAAAGCAGGUCAUAGUGAUCCGGUGGUUCUGUAUGGAAGGGCCAUCGCUCAACGGAUAAAAGGUACUCCGGGGAUAACAGGCUGAUACCGCCCAAGAGUUCAUAUCGACGGCGGUGUUUGGCACCUCGAUGUCGGCUCAUCACAUCCUGGGGCUGAAGUCGGUCCCAAGGGUAUGGCUGUUCGCCAUUUAAAGUGGUACGCGAGCUGGGUUUAGAACGUCGUGAGACAGUUCGGUCCCUAUCUGCCGUGGGCGUUUGAGAAUUGAAGAGGGCUGCUCCUAGUACGAGAGGACCGGAGUGGACGAACCUCUGGUGUUCGGGUUGUCAUGCCAAUGGCAUUGCCCGGUAGCUACGUUCGGAACUGAUAACCGCUGAAAGCAUCUAAGCGGGAAACAGGCUUUGAGAUGAGUUCUCACUGGAGAUUUAAUCUCCCUAAAGGGUCGUUGGAGACUACAACGUUGAUAGGUCAGGUGUGUAAGGGUUGUGAGGCCUUGAGCUAACUGAUACUAAUUGCCCGUGAGGCUUAACCAU
rnacentral:rRNA from 1 species